CAGUGGGUGGGAGCUGAUGCUGGCUAGAAGACUUGAGUCUUCCGAGAGGCAGCUUGAUUCCUGGAAAAGACUACUGGGCUGGAAGUCAGGAGGCCUGGGGUACUCUCAGCUCUGCUGCUAACAUGCUGCAUGACCAUGGGCUGACUGACUGGAGAACCUGAGGUGCUGUGCAGAGACCAGAGGAAGGCUUUGAUCCCAAGCCUGCAGCCGGUCCAGCUCAGCACCUGGCUCACAUUAGGCACUCAGUGAAUGUUGAUGUGAACAAAUGAACUGAUUCAAAGAAGUGUCUCCUGAAGUUGCUUCUUUCCAAUCCAGCCAACAAAUGCAGUAUUCUGAAUGGAGGUAACAGAGAUCACAUCACCUUCAGCUUUCUGCUGCAGAUCCACAUGAAGAAUCACACAUAUCCUUAAUGUUAGAUAGGACUUUGCAUUGGACACUUUAAAAUGUGAUGUCUGGCUUUGAAGAGGGUGUAUAACACACAUAAUUUACUGUGCAUCAAUCUCACUAAUGGAAAAUAAACAACAACCCAUAAA
rnacentral:antisense_RNA from 1 species